GUGGGGAAUCUUGCGCAAUGGGCGAAAGCCUGACGCAGCGAUGCCGCGUGCGGGAUGAAGGCCUUCGGGUUGUAAACCGCUUUCAGCAGGGACGAAAUUGACGGUACCUGCAGAAGAAGCCCCGGCCAACUACGUGCCAGCAGCCGCGGUAAUACGUAGGGGGCGAGCGUUGUCCGGAUUUAUUGGGCGUAAAGAGCUCGUAGGCGGUUCGAUAAGUCGGAUGUGAAAUCUCCACGCUCAACGUGGAGAGGCCAUUCGAUACUGUCGUGACUCGAGUCCGGUAGGGGAGUGUGGAAUUCCCGGUGUAGCGGUGAAAUGCGCAGAGAUCGGGAGGAACACCCGUAGCGAAGGCGGCACUCUGGGCCGGUACUGACGCUGAGGAGCGAAAGCGUGGGGAGCAAACAGGAUUAGAAACCCUAGUAGUCC
rnacentral:rRNA from 1 species